GAUGAACGCUAGCUACAGGCUUAACACAUGCAAGUCGAGGGGUAACGAGAGGGAAGCUUGCUUUCCUUGUCGACGACCGGCGCACGGGUGAGUAACGCGUAUCCAACCUGCCCCCAACUAGGGAAUAACCUUGCGAAAGUAAGACUAAUACCCUAUAAUUUCCUCAGAUGCCAUCUGACGAGGAAUAAAGAUUUAUGGGUUCUGGAUGGGGAUGCGUCUGAUUAGCUUGUUGGCGGGGGAACGGACCACCAAGGCAACGAUCGGUAGGGGUUCUGAGAGGAAGGUCCCCCACAUUGGAACUGAGACACGGUCCAAACUCCUACGGGAGGCAGCAGUGAGGAAUAUUGGUCAAUGGGCGGAAGCCUGAACCAGCCAAGUAGCGUGCAGGAUGACGGCCCUAUGGGUUGUAAACUGCUUUUAUACAGGAAUAAAGUUAGCCACGUGUGGUUAUUUGUAGGUACUGUAUGAAUAAGGACCGGCUAAUUCCGUGCCAGCAGCCGCCGUAA
rnacentral:rRNA from 1 species